rnacentral:rRNA from 1 species
AUUGAACGCUGGCGGCAGGCCUAACACAUGCAAGUCGAACGAGUGGCGGACGGGUGAGUAAUGUCUGGGAAACUGCCUGAUGGAGGGGGAUAACUACUGGAAACGGUAGCUAAUACCGCAUACCAUCGGAUGUGCCCAGAUGGGAUUAGCUAGUAGGUGGGGUAAAGGCUCACCUAGGCGACGAUCCCUAGCUGGUCUGGGAGGAUGACCAGCCAAACGGGAACUGAGACACGGCCCAGACUCAUACGGGAGGCAGAAGUGGGGAAUAUUGCACAAGGGGCGCAAGCCUGAUGCAGCCAGUCCGCGUGUAGGAAGAAGGCCUUCGGGUUGUAAAGUACUUUCAGCGGUGAGGCGUUACCCGCAGAAGAAGCACCGGCUAACUCCGUGCCAGCAGCCGCGGUAAUUC